rnacentral:lncRNA from 1 species
UUUUUCUUGAGACCUGGUCUGGCUCUGUGGCUCAGGCUCGAGUGCAAGUGGCGUGAUUACCGCUUAUUGCAGCCUCAGCCUCCUCUAGCCUUAGCCUCUCCGGUACCUGGGACCACGAGCUGGCGCCACCACCUCCGUCUACGUUUUUUGUAUUUUUAGCAGAGACUGGGAUCUUGCCAUGUUGGCUAGGCUGCUCUUGAACUCCUGAGAUCAAGCGAUCCGCCCGCCUCGGCCUCCCAAAGUGCCGGGACUGCAGGCAUGAGCCAUUGUGCCGGGCGCUCAGCCUCUUUUGGCGCCUACUUUCGCCUUUCCGGGGCCAGGCAUGUGCAGCGUGUUGGAGAAGGGUCCCGCCCUCUACGGGAAGUCCUCGCUGCCAAGGUCACAGGCGCGGAGAACAGGAGAACCGAGCAUGAAAAUACACAUGAACUCUUAAGAAAAAACAUUUCUAGCAAUCAGCAAAUACUAAGAACUUAUUGAGCUCUGUGCCUGAUGAUAUAGAAGGAAGUCUGAAAUUUUGAGAAGCGAGCACCGUCCCCCGACAUCGUGACUACUACCGCAUCACUAAGCUGCGUUGUUUUCCGGGAGAAGCACUGCGCCACGAGCUCACUUGCCUUUCCAGGCCUGCCACGCAGGCGUCCUCCGCUGUCUUUUGUCAGCUUUCGGGUCUGCGCUUGCAGAGAAACGCGCCCCCUCCCGGCUGGAGGACGCAGCUCCGGGCGGGGAGAAGUUAGUGUUCCGUUGCGGAGCCUGACGGGAAACCGCCCCGACAGGUCUUUGGCGCGCGGCGCACUAGCGGCAGCGACGGG